rnacentral:sRNA from 1 species
UUCCUGAUGUAAGUUGAAUCUGUCACGUA